GCCCUUGAGUUUGAUCCUGGCUCAGGAUGAACGCUGGCGGCGCAUUUAAGACAUGCAAGUCGAACGGAGAUUUAUUAAAACAAAUUGAGUAGUUUACUACGAGAAGAGUUUUUAUAAAUUUUAGUGGCGGACGGGUGAGUAAUACGUAGGCAACCUGCCUCAAAGUGGGAAAUAACUAGAAGAAAUUUUAGCUAAUGUCCCAUAAGACUACACUAUGGCAUCAUAGAGUAGUCAAAGGAGUAAUCCGCUUUGAGAUGGGCCUACGGCUGAUUAGUUAGUUGGUGAGGUAAUGGCUCACCAAGACGAUGAUCAGUAGCCGGGCUGAGGGGCUGUACGGCCACAUUGGGACUGAGACACGGCCCAGACUCCUACGGGAGGCAGCAGUUGGGAAUAUUGGACAAUGGGGGAAACCCUGAUCCAGUGACGCCGCGUGAAGGAAGAAGGUCUUCGGAUUGUAAACUUAUUUUGUCAGGGAAGAAAAAAAUGACUGUACCUGAAGAAGAAGGACCGGCUAACUACGUGCCAGCAGCCGCGGUAAUACGUAGGGUCCAAGCGUUAUCCGGAUUUACUGGGUGUAAAGGGCGAGUAGACGGCGUGAUAAGUCAGAUGUGAAAUCUUAGGGCUCAACCUUAAGACUGCAUCUGAAACUGUCAUGCUAGAGUGCAGAAGAGGUAAGUGGAAUUCCUAGUGUAGCGGUGAAAUGCGUAGAUAUUAGGAGGAACACCAGUGGCGAAGGCGACUUACUGGGCUGUAACUGACGUUGAGGCGCGAAAGUGUGGGGAGCAAACAGGAUUAGAUACCCUGGUAGUCCACACCGUAAACGAU
rnacentral:rRNA from 1 species